AACGCACAUUGCGCCCCUUGGUAUUCCGAGGGGCAUGCCUGUUCGAGCGUCAUUAUGACCACUCAAGCCUAGCUUGGUAUUGGGGUUCGUGGUACCACGGCCUCUAAAAUCAGUGGCGGUGCCAUCUGGCUCUAAGCGUAGUAAUUUUUCUCGCUACAGGGUCUGGUGGUUGCUUGCCAAAACCUCUCAACUCUUAUGGUUGACCUCGGAUCAGGUAGGGAUACCCGCUGAACUUAA
rnacentral:misc_RNA from 1 species